GUGGGGAAUUUUGGACAAUGGGCGCAAGCCUGAUCCAGCAAUGCCGCGUGCAGGAAGAAGGCCUUCGGGUUGUAAACUGCUUUUGUACGGAACGAAAAGACUCCUUCUAAUAAAGGGGGUCCAUGACGGUACCGUAAGAAUAAGCACCGGCUAACUACGUGCCAGCAGCCGCGGUAAUACGUAGGGUGCAAGCGUUAAUCGGAAUUACUGGGCGUAAAGCGUGCGCAGGCGGUUAUAUAAGACAGAUGUGAAAUCCCCGGGCUCAACCUGGGAACUGCAUUUGUGACUGUAUAGCUAGAGUACGGUAGAGGGGGAUGGAAUUCCGCGUGUAGCAGUGAAAUGCGUAGAUAUGCGGAGGAACACCGAUGGCGAAGGCAAUCCCCUGGACCUGUACUGACGCUCAUGCACGAAAGCGUGGGGAGCAAACAGGAUUAGAAACCCGUGUAGUCC
rnacentral:rRNA from 1 species